rnacentral:rRNA from 1 species
CCGGCACGGGUGAGUAACACGUAUCCAACCUGCCGUCUACUCUUGGACAGCCUUCUGAAAGGAAAGAUUUAAUACAAGAUGGCAUCAUGAGUUCACAUGUUCACAUGAUUAAAGGUAUUCCGGUAGACGAUGGGGAUGCGUUCCAUUAGAUAGUAGGCGGGGUAACGGCCCACCUAGUCUUCGAUGGAUAGGGGUUCUGAGAGGAAGGUCCCCCACAUUGGAACUGAGACACGGUCCAA